CGACUCUCGGCAACGGAUAUCUCGGCUCGCAUCGAUGAAGAACGUAGCGAAAUGCGAUACUUGGUGUGAAUUGCAGAAUCCCGUGAACCAUCGAGUCUUUGAACGCAAGUUGCGCCCGAAGCCGUCAGGCCGAGGGCACGUCUGCCUGGGCGUCACGCAUCGCG
rnacentral:rRNA from 1 species